UACGAGUGCCCCAAGCGUUAUCCGGAAUUAUUUGGGCGUAAAGGGCUCGUAGGCGGUCUGUCGCGUCGGGAGUGGAAAACUCCAGGGCUUAACCCUGAGCCUGCUUCCGAUACGGGCAGACUAGAGGUAUGCAGGGGAGAACGGAAUUCCUGGUGUAGCGGUGGAAUGCGCAGAUAUCAGGAGGAACACCGGUGGCGAAGGCGGUUCUCUGGGCAUUACCUGACGCUGAGGAGCGAAAGUGUGGGGAGCGAACAGG
rnacentral:rRNA from 1 species